GGGCGUAGAGGGCUCGCAGGCGGUUUUUUAAGUCUGAGGUGAAAGCCCCCGGCUUAACCGGGGAGGGUCAUUGGAAACUGGGGAACUUGAGUGCAGAAGAGGAGAGUGGAAUUCCACGUGUAGCGGUGAAAUGCGUAGAGAUGUGGAGGAACACCAGUGGCGAAGGCGACUCUCUGGUCUGUAACUGACGCUGAGGAGCGAAAGCGUGGGGAGCGAACAGGAUUAGAUACCCUGGUAGUCCACGCCGUAAACGAUGAGUGCUAAGUGUUAGGGGGUUUCCGCCCCUUAGUGCUGCAGCUAACGCAUUAAGCACUCCGCCUGGGGAGUACGGUCGCAAGACUGAAACUCAAAGGAAUUGACGGGGGCCCGCACAAGCGGUGGAGCAUGUGGUUUAAUUCGAAGCAACGCGAAGAACCUUACCAGGUCUUGACAUCCUCUGACAAUCCUAGAGAUAGGACGUCCCCUUCGGGGGCAGAGUGACAGGUGGUGCAUGGUUGUCGUCAGCUCGUGUCGUGAGAUGUUGGGUUAAGUCCCCGCACGAGCGCAACCCUUGAUCUUAGUUGCCAGCAUUCAGUUGGGCACUCUAAGGUGACUGCCGGUGAC
rnacentral:rRNA from 1 species